GAGUAAUGUCUGGGAAACUGCCUGAUGGAGGGGGAUAACUACUGGAAACGGUGGCUAAUACCGCAUAACGUCGCAAGACCAAAGAGGGGGACCUUCGGGCCUCUUGCCAUCAGAUGUGCCCAGAUGGGAUUAGCUUGUUGGUGAGGUAACGGCUCACCAAGGCGACGAUCCCUAGCUGGUCUGAGAGGAUGACCAGCCACACUGGAACUGAGACACGGUCCAGACUCCUACGGGAGGCAGCAGUGGGGAAUAUUGCACAAUGGGCGCAAGCCUGAUGCAGCCAUGCCGCGUGUAUGAAGAAGGCCUUCGGGUUGUAAAGUACUUUCAGCGGGGAGGAAGGUGUUGUGGUUAAUAACCGCAGCAAUUGACGUUACCCGCAGAAGAAGCACCGGCUAACUCCGUGCCAGCAGCCGCGGUAAUACGGAGGGUGCAAGCGUUAAUCGGAAUUACUGGGCGUAAAGCGCACGCAGGCGGUCUGUCAAGUCGGAUGUGAAAUCCCCGGGCUCAACCUGGGAACUGCAUUCGAAACUGGCAGGCUUGAGUCUUGUAGAGGGGGGUAGAAUUCCAGGUGUAGCGGUGAAAUGCGUAGAGAUCUGGAGGAAUACCGGUGGCGAAGGCGGCCCCCUGGACAAAGACUGACGCUCAGGUGCGAAAGCGUGGGGAGCAAACAGGAUUAGAUACCCUGGUAGUCCACGCCGUAAACGAUGUCUACUUGGAGGUUGUGCCCUUGAGGCGUGGCUUCCGGAGCUAACGCGUUAAGUAGACCGCCUGGGGAGUACGGCCGCAAGGUUAAAACUCAAAUGAAUUGACGGGGGCCCGCACAAGCGGUGGAGCAUGUGGUUUAAUUCGAUGCAACGCGAAGAACCUUACCUGGUCUUGACAUCCACGGAAGAAUUCAGAGAUGGAUUUGUGCCUUCGGGAACCGUGAGACAGGUGCUGCAUGGCUGUCGUCAGCUCGUGUUGUGAAAUGUUGGGUUAAGUCCCGCAACGAGCGCAACCCUUAUCCUUUGUUGCCAGCGGUCCGG
rnacentral:rRNA from 3 species